rnacentral:lncRNA from 1 species
CUUGAAAAUUAGACUUAAUUUUGAAAGGGUGGUUUUUAGUUGCUAUGCGUAUAUUUGUACCGAAAUAAUAUUUCAGUCGCAGCGACCUCUCAAAUGAUUGAAAAUCUUUUAUCAAUUGUCUGUGGUUACAUUUGUUUGUAGGAACAAAUUUUAAACCUUUUGCUAUAACUUUAAAUUCAGUUUCAGUUAUAUCUCUUUUAGAUAGGUUUAGGACUAACUCUUUAUGAAAGUUAAG